UCAGAGUAGAUUAGAGCAGACGUUUCAGGUUGCUGCCAUCAGAGAGUAGUGACUUGACCUUAGUGUCUUUAGUGUGCUCCCACAUUGAAGUCUACUUUUUGGGUCCAUGCACCUACUUAUUUCUAAACAUCUAGAGCACAACAACACCCCUGCCUCCUGAUGUGCCAUAUAACCUGUAUCUCUCCAAGUGUGUGUGUGUGUGUGUGUGUGUGUGUGUGUGUGUGUGUGUGUGUGUGUGUGUGUGUGUGUGUGUGUGUGUGUGAGAGAGAAUGUGUGCACGCAGAUAUAAGAAGUUGGGGUUGAUGAUCCACAUGAUGGUGAUGGACCAGGACAGCUCUGGACCUCCUGACUGGCAGCUCCAUCCUCAACCUCUCUUCCUGCCCUUCACAUGUGCAGGUAAGGCCAAUUUUUUUUAAAACUCACUGCAUUGUCUGAGGCAAAAGUAGGAGAAAAGAAGUGUGCGAGUGAGUGAGAACCCGGUCAUUAUACAUGUGACCCUUAAAGGGCGUGUGUGUGUCCUAGAACCAAGACAGUGGCAGUGUGUGUCCGUCUGCCUUUGGUUAAGGGUAUCUUUAAGAUACUACCUUGUUGUGGUAACAUAAUUUUGCUAUUUCUGACAGGCAGCCAGUUUUCUGAAAGAUGGUUGAUGUCAGUACCAACAUGUUGUGAUGGAGGCUUCCACCUGAGCUGAACACAGAAACUUGCACACAGUGAUGGAAGCAGUCGUUCCUGUUCAGCAUCGAUAUGCCAGUAAUGGGUUUGAUGAGCCACAGCAUGGUGAUGGGCAAUCAGCAUCAGGACCAGGGCAGCCCACAAGGAGAACCUCCUGCCCUGCCUCGUCAUCCUCAACCUCCCAUCUCCCUGCUCUUCACACAUGUGCAGGCACGAAGCCAGUUUUCAGAGGGAGGGCUGAUGACACCAGCAACUUUGGUUCUGAACCUGAUCAACCCAGCACCAACCACUGUGCCGCUCCUCCUCUGCCAACUGCACCACAUGGCUCCACCAUCUCAAAAAGGCACAGACACUACUCCACUUCCUGCGAAGGAUGAGAGAAGAGCCGACCGCCCCACAUCGGCACUCACCACCUUCUACAGGGGUGUCAUUGAGAGCAUCCUGACCAGCAGCCUCUCUGUCUGGCAUGGCAGCCGUCAAGCUGAAGACUAGAAGGCAGUACAGAGAGUGUGGUGAGCUCGGCAGAAAAGCUCAUAAGAUCACCCCGACCAGCCAUUCAGGAUCUGUACACUUCACACUGUUCCAAGAGGGCAAUGAACAUCAUAAAGACACAACUCAUCCAGCAUACAGACUGUCCUCCCUACUACCAUCAGGGAAGCGCUAGCCCGGCAUGCGGUGCCGCACAAGCACACUGGGAAACGGCUCUCCUCAACGUUCUGAAGAAAACCACAUGAAUAUUCAAAGGACACUGGAGAAUAUUCCAUGAACACUUCUUUCACCAUGCCACUUACACUUUACUCAUUGCACCUUAUAUACAGCAUCUUCACAUCACCUGUAUGAUCUCCUCCUGCCAUGUGUGUGUGUGUGUGUGUCCACUGUGUUUGUGUAUUUAUUGUCCAUCAGUAUGUUAUUCUUCUUAUUGCACACUGUUUGUGUCUCUGUGUGACUGUAUUUAUUGAAUGUAUCAGUCUGUAUUUCAUGUCAAUGC